rfam:TPA: Bos taurus chromosome 21, whole genome shotgun sequence.
UUCCUGGUGGUCCAGUGGUUAAGAUUCUGUGCUUGCACUUCAGUGGACAUGGGUUUAAUCCCUGGCCAGGAAA